UGCACAUCAGAGUACACAAGAGCCAUGUCUUGGUGACUUCCGCCUGAGAGCACAUGCACAGCUUCCUGUUUUGGUCUGAUAGCUUCCCCUGGGCUUUCAUAGAUGCAAAAUUACUCACAAAGAGAUGGGUUGCCCGGGCGAAAAAUGAGUCACAGUGACGGGAUCCUCUCGUGUUGCUGGGAAGUGGCAGCGAGCUGAAGCUCCCAGGUGACACAGAUACGGGAAGGAAAGUCCCCCAGGUCUCAGAUGUGAUGGAAUCAGAGACACAGAAAGACAAACAAACAAAACGGGAAGACUUGCCACGAUUCCGAAAAGUUGUCUAAAUUGGUCUCUAUCGAGUAAUAAAAUCACAGGUACUUCUUCA